rnacentral:rRNA from 1 species
UAGGGAAUCUUCGGCAAUGGGGGCAACCCUGACCGAGCAACGCCGCGUGAGUGAAGAAGGUUUUCGGAUCGUAAAGCUCUGUUGUAAGAGAAGAACGUGUGUGAGAGUGGAAAGUUCACACAGUGACGGUAACUUACCAGAAAGGGACGGCUAACUACGUGCCAGCAGCCGCGGUAAUACGUAGGUCCCGAGCGUUGUCCGGAUUUAUUGGGCGUAAAGCGAGCGCAGGCGGUUUAAUAAGUCUGAAGUUAAAGGCAGUGGCUUAACCAUUGUUCGCUGUGGAAACUGUUAAACUUGAGUGCAGAAGGGGAGAGUGGAAUUCCAUGUGUAGCGGUGAAAUGCGUAGAUAUAAGGAGGAACACCGGUGGCGAAAGCGGCUCUCUGGUCUGUAACUGACGCUGAGGCUCGAAAGCGUGGGGAGCAAACAGG